rnacentral:rRNA from 1 species
GACAGAGGGUGCAAACGUUGUUCGGAAUUACUGGGCGUAAAGCGCGUGUAGGCGGCCCUGCAAGUCGGAUGUGAAAUCCCACGGCUCAACCGUGGAAGUGCAUUCGAAACUGCAGGGCUAGAGUCCUGGAGAAGAAGGUGGAAUGCUUGGUGUAGAGGUGAAAUUCGUAGAUAUCAAGCGGAACACCGGUGGCGAAGGCGGCCUUCUGGACAGUGACGUGACGCUG